rnacentral:rRNA from 1 species
GGAAUUGUUCGCAAUGGGCGCAAGCCUGACGACGCAACGCCGCGUGGAGGAUGAAGGUCUUCGGAUUGUAAACUCCUGUUGAUCGGGACGAACAACCAUCGGGAUAACACCCCGGAGGUCUGACGGUACCGAUUGAGGAAGCCCCGGCUAACUCUGUGCCAGCAGCCGCGGUAAUACAGAGGGGGCAAGCGUUGUUCGGAAUUACUGGGCGUAAAGGGCUCGUAGGUGGCCAACUAAGUCAGACGUGAAAUCCCCAGGCUCAACUUGGGAACUGCGUCUGAUACUGGCUGGCUUGAAUUCGGGAGAGGGAUGCAGAAUUCCAGGUGUAGCGGUGAAAUGCGUAGAUAUCUGGAGGAGUACCGGUGGCGAAGGCGGCAUCCUGGACCGAGAUUGACACUGAGGAGCGAAAGCUAGGGGAGCAAAC